GAUGAACGCUGGCGGCGUGCCUAAUACAUGCAAGUCGAGCGCACGGACGAGAAGCUUGCUUCUCUGAUGUUAGCGGCGGACGGGCGAGUAACACGUGGAUAACCUACCUAUCAGACUGGGAUAACUUCGGGAAACCGGGGCUCAUAACGGAUAAUAUUUUGAACUGCAUGGUUCAAAAGUGAAAGACGGUAUUGCUGUCACUUAUAGCUGGAUCCGCGCUGCAUUAGCUAGCUGGUAAGGUAACGGCUUACCAAGGCAACGAUGCAUAGCCGACCUGAGAGGGUGAUCGGCCACACUGGAACUGAGACACGGUCCAGACUCCUACGGGAGGCAGCAGUAGGGAUUCUUCCGCAAUGGGCGAAAUCCUGACGGAGCAACGCCGCGUGAGUGAUGAAGGUCUUCGGAUCGUAAAACUCUGUUAUUAGGGAAGAACAUAUGUGUAAGUAACUGUGCACAUCUUGACGGUACCUAAUCAGAAAGCCACGGCUAACUACGUG
rnacentral:rRNA from 1 species